GCUGAUGUGAUGGAAUAGGCAGACAUGAAGGAUUCAAAAUCCUUUGAUAGAAAUAUCGUGCAGGUUCAAGUCCUGUCAUCAGCACCA
rnacentral:tRNA from 1 species